CCCUCAGUAAUAUCCAAAGGGCGUCCAGAGGGUGGGGAAAAUCCCUACAGUACAGCUUUUCUCCAAAAAGAAGGUAUACACUGCCCCUAUUAUUUUAUUUUUUUUGCCCCUAUUUUAUUUUCUAACUUGAUUCAUAGCACGCUAUUAUCUUCUUUCAUCAGUGAACUACGCAGAGGGGAUUCCACCCUCCCCAAGACGGCCCCAGGCAAGGUCAAGGGUUUACCUUGUCAUAAUAGUAUCGCAGGGCUCUGCUCAGCUUAUCAUAGUUCAUAUUUGUUUUGUUUUUUCGGAGUCCCCACAGCUUGGCCACUUCUUCUGCUUUGAGGAGCUUGAAUUCACCAUCGUUCGAGGUCCAGCAGAUCAAAUGCUCAUGUUUCUGAUCCAGCAGCAACUGCAACAGGAACUGCCACAGCGUGAUUGCACUCUCCAUACCUGCGGGGAGAGGCGGCCAGGUUUCCUGAGGCCUCCCCAGAAACCCAGCAGAUGCCAGCAUCAUGCUUCCUGUACAGCCCGCAGAACUGUGAGACAAUUAAACCGCUUUUCUUUAU
rnacentral:antisense_RNA from 1 species